GGGGAGCAGCCCAGAGCCUGAAUCAGUGUGUGUGUUAGUGGAAGCGUCUGGAAAGGCGUGCGAUACAGGGUGACAGCCCCGUACACAAAAAUGCACAUAUUGUGAGCUUGAUGAGUAGGGCGGGACACGUGGUAUCCUGUCUGAAUAUGGGGGGACCAUCCUCCAAGGCUAAAUACUCCUGACUGACCGAUAGUGAACCAGUACCGUGAGGGAAAGGCGAAAAGAACCCCGGCGAGGGGAGUGAAAAAGAACCUGAAACCGUGUACGUACAAGCAGUGGGAGCACGCUUAGGCGUGUGACUGCGUACCUUUUGUAUAAUGGGUCAGCGACUUAUAUUCUGUAGCAAGGUUAACCGAAUAGGGGAGCCGAAGGGAAACCGAGUCUUAACUGGGCGUUAAGUUGCAGGGUAUAGACCCGAAACCCGGUGAUCUAGCCAUGGGCAGGUUGAAGGUUGGGUAACACUAACUGGAGGACCGAACCGACUAAUGUUGAAAAAUUAGCGGAUGACUUGUGGCUGGGGGUGAAAGGCCAAUCAAACCGGGAGAUAGCUGGUUCUCCCCGAAAGCUAUUUAGGUAGCGCCUCGUGAAUUCAUCUCCGGGGGUAGAGCACUGUUUCGGCAAGGGGGUCAUCCCGACUUACCAACCCGAUGCAAACUGCGAAUACCGGAGAAUGUUAUCACGGGAGACACACGGCGGGUGCUAACGUCCGUCGUGAAGAGGGAAACAACCCAGACCGCCAGCUAAGGUCCCAAAGUCAUGGUUAAGUGGGAAACGAUGUGGGAAGGCCCAGACAGCCAGGAUGUUGGCUUAGAAGCAGCCAUCAUUUAAAGAAAGCGUAAUAGCUCACUGGUCGAGUCGGCCUGCGCGGAAGAUGUAACGGGGCUAAACCAU
rnacentral:rRNA from 1 species